rnacentral:rRNA from 1 species
UACUUAAACUAGGAUUAGAUACCCUAUUAUUGAAUUAAAUACUAGUAAUAACUGUAAAUCAAAAAAUUAAAAAAAAUUGACGGCUUUUUAACAUUUUAGAGGAACUUAUUCUAUAAAGGAUUCAACCCCAAAACCUUACUUUAUUUGGAAUUAUCCCCCAGUUUGUAUACCCUAUCAACUUUUUAAUUAUUUAAAUAAUUAUAAAUAUCUUAUUAAGAGAUUAAUUAAGUCUAGGCACAACUAAUAAUAAAGUGUGAAAUAAGUUAUAUAAUUUUAAAAUUAACAAAUAAAUCUAAUGAAAUAUAAUUUUAAGAAAAAUUUAAAAGUAAAUUAAUAAAUUUUAUUUAAUUGAAUAAAAAAAUAAAAAGUGUACUAUAUGCCGACGGUAUGU